rnacentral:rRNA from 1 species
UACGAAGGGGGCUAGCGUUGCUCGGAAUCACUGGGCGUAAAGGGUGCGUAGGCGGGUCUUUAAGUCAGGGGUGAAAUCCUGGAGCUCAACUCCAGAACUGCCUUUGAUACUGAGGAUCUUGAGUUCGGGAGAGGUGAGUGGAACUGCGAGUGUAGAGGUGAAAUUCGUAGAUAUUCGCAAGAACACCAGUGGCGAAGGCGGCUCACUGGCCCGAUACUGACGCUGAGGAGCGAAAGCGUGGGUAGCAAAUAGG